AUGUUAUUCGUUAGAUUAUGUGAUAUGAUCCUCAGGUUUGUCUCCUCGCUGCCGCUCACUGACUUCCAGUUCACCAUGUCUCUGUCCCACGAUGUGCCCCUUGCUACAAGCCUCGGACACAACAUGUAUGUACUGGGAAGCAUCCAGAGAACGGGAGAGAAACUGCUGCUGCAGUACAACACAAGGCAAGACUCCUGGUCUGAGCUGCUUCCCACGCUCACGAGAGCCGAUGCAGACAUCCCCACACUUUACUUCCUGGGCGCCACCGACAGGCUGCACGUGAUUGGUGGAAACAACUCGGAGAAUCUGGUGACGUCGUUCUGCGUGCGGUCCCAGAAAUGGGGGCAGGUGCACAGGGCUGAGAAGGUGGGGUUUGCAGGACAGGGGACGGUUGCAGGCGAUCAGGUCCUGCUGCCAAGUAUUGAGCACAACACUGUUGCAAGAAUGGAUCUGCACACUCUGUCCCUCACAACUCUGCCUCCUCUGCCAGUCUGCACCUGCUAUGAAGCCAUCUUUCAUCUCCAUUUCUAACGAUGGGUUUUGGGUCUACGAUUGUUCAUUAAACUUGAAAAUUCAUUCAUUUCAGCCACUUUCAUUAAUUACAGAAAAGAUGAUCAUGUCAUUUCCAGGUACAGAUGCUGUUAUCAUCAGUGAUAUUACAGUAACAGUAAUUUUAGCUUUAACUAUACACUAAAUAAAAUACAUUUACAGCCUGAUGCA
rnacentral:lncRNA from 1 species